UACAGAGGGGGCAAGCGUUGUUCGGCAUUACUGGGCGUAAAGGGCGCGUAGGCGGCCCGCUAAGUCGAACGUGAAAUCCCCGAGCUCAACUCGGGAACUGCGUCCGAUACUGGUGGGCUUGAAUCCGGGAGAGGGAUGCGGAAUUCCAGGUGUAGCGGUGAAAUGCGUAGAUAUCUGGAGGAACACCGGUGGCGAAGGCGGCGUUCUGGACUGCAACUGACACUGAGAAACGAAAGCCAGGGUAGCAAACGGG
rnacentral:rRNA from 1 species